GUGGGUGUAGCUCAGUUGGUAGAGCAUCAGAUUGUGGCUCUGGGGGCCGAGGGUUCAAAUCCCUCCACUCACCCCA
rnacentral:tRNA from 1 species